UAAUUUCAACAGGUGAUCUUC
ensembl:piRNA 21ur-910 ncRNA